UUGAAAAGAACUUUGAAGAGAGAGUUCAAGAGUACGUGAAACCGUUCAGGGGUAAACCUAAGAAACCCAAAAGAUCGAACGGGGAGAUUCAUCGUCAGCGACGCUGGCUUCGCGUCGGUGGGCGAUGUCCCGCGGGGCCCUCGCGGCUCGCGCGCGGACACGCCGCCGUGCGUCGAUGCCCGGCGCCUCGUCGUCGUGCACUUCUCCCCUAGUAGAACGUCGCGACCCGCUGGGUGUCGGUCUACGGCCCGGGUGCGGUGGCUGACGCGUCGCCGGUAAAACGGCACGCGUCAAACCCCCGGUCGCCCGGCCGGCUGCCCGGCGGUACACGCAAGGUAUCAGGCCGCAACCACGAAACUCUUACCACGGGGUGUGCGUCGAGGCCGUCGCAAGCGCGCGCCACGGUACACGGAGGCUAACGGACCUCGCGCCGUCACCGGUCCUGGCCCGCUGUUGGUCGUACGGUUAACCUUCGACAGGCCCGCGAACGUUCCCCGGGUGGGCUCCUCGCGAGCCACCCCGGGGUGACCGAUACCGGUCGGCGACGCUACUGCUUUGGGUACUCUUAGGACCCGUCUUGAAACACGGACCAAGGAGUCUAACAUGUACGCGAGUCAUUGGGACUAGCGAUACACCUAAAGGCGCAAUGAAAGUGAAGGUCGGCCCCGGUUGUCGACCGAGGGAGGAUGGGCCGCGUCGCGACGCGGCCCCGCACUCCCGGGGCGUCUCGUUCUCAUCGCGAGAAGAGGCGCACCCAGAGCGUACACGUUGGGACCCGAAAGAUGGUGAACUAUGCCUGGUCAGGACGAAGUCAGGGGAAACCCUGAUGGAGGUCCGUAGCGAUUCUGACGUGCAAAUCGAUCGUCGGAACUGGGUAUAGGGGCGAAAGACUAAUCGAACCAUCUAGUAGCUGGUUCCCUCCGAAGUUUCCCUCAGGAUAGCUGGCACUCGGCCGUUCCGCACGGAACGCGCGCGAGUCUCAUCUGGUAAAGCGAAUGAUUAGAGGCCUUGGGGCCGAAACGACCUCAACCUAUUCUCAAACUUUAAAUGGGUGAGAUCUCUGGCUUUCUUGAACCGUGAAGCCACGAGCAUCAGAAUCGGAUCAGAGUGCCAAGUGGGCCAUUUUUGGUAAGCAGAACUGGCGCUGUGGGAUGAACCAAACGCAGAGUUAAGGCGCCCAACUCGACGCUCAUGGGACACCAUGAAAGGCGUUGGUUGCUUAAGACAGCAGGACGGUGGCCAUGGAAGUCGGAAUCCGCUAAGGAGUGUGUAACAACUCACCUGCCGAAGCAACUAGCCCUGAAAAUGGAUGGCGCUGAAGCGUCGAGCCUAUACUCUGCCGUCAGCGGCAAGUGGGGCGGCCGUGCCGCGCGCCCGCGCGUCCUCCCGGACGCGCGCGGCCGCGUACGCGCCGCCACGAGGCCCUGACGAGUAGGAGGGUCGCGGCGGUGCGCGCAGAAGGGUCU
rnacentral:rRNA from 1 species